UACGUAGGGAGCAAGCGUUGUCCGGAAUCACUGGGCGUAAAGGGCGCGUAGGCGGCCUGGUCAGCGUGCGGUGAAAGCCCCGGGCUUAACCUGGGAAUGGCCAUGGAAACUGGCGAGCUGGAGUGUGGCAGAGGGGGGUGGAAUUCCGCGUGUAGCAGUGAAAUGCGUAGAGAUGCGGAGGAACACCGAUGGCGAAGGCAGCCCCCUGGGCUAGCACUGACGCUCAGGCACGAAAGCGUGGGGAGCAAACAGG
rnacentral:rRNA from 1 species